rnacentral:rRNA from 1 species
AGAGUUUGAUCCUGGCUCAGGACGAACGCUGGCGGCGUGCCUAAUACAUGCAAGUCGAACGAAGCUUUCUUUCACCGAAUGCUUGCAUUCACCGAAAGAAGCUUAGUGGCGAACGGGUGAGUAACACGUAGGCAACUUGCCCAAAAGAGGGGGAUAACACUUGGAAACAGGAGCUAAUACCGCAUAACCAUGAACACCGCAUGAUGUUCGUGUAAAAGACGGCUUUUGCUGUCACUUUUGGAUGGGCCUGCGGCGUAUUAACUUGUUGGUGGGGUAACGGCCUACCAAGGUGAUGAUACGUAGCCGAACUGAGAGGUUGAUCGGCCACAUUGGGACUGAGACACGGCCCAAACUCCUACGGGAGGCAGCAGUAGGGAAUCUUCCACAAUGGACGAAAGUCUGAUGGAGCAACGCCGCGUGAAUGAAGAAGGCCUUCGGGUCGUAAAAUUCUGUUGUCAGAGAAGAAUGUGCGUGAGAGUAACUGUUCACGUAUUGACGGUAUCUGACCAGAAAGCCACGGCUAACUACGUGCCAGCAGCCGCGGUAAUACGCAGGUGGCAAGCGUUGUCCGGAUUUACUGGGCGUAAAGGGAACGCAGGCGGUCUUUUAAGUCUGAUGUGAAAGCCUUCGGCUUAACCGAAGUAGUGCAUUGGAAACUGGAAGACUUGAGUGCAGAAGAGGAGAGUGGAACUCCAUGUGUAGCGGUGAAAUGCGUAGAUAUAUGGAAGUACACCAGUGGCGAAAGCGGCUCUCUGGUCUGUAACUGACGCUGAGGUUCGAAAGCGUGGGUAGCAAACAGGAUUAGAUACCCUGGUAGUCCACGCCGUAAACGAUGAGUGCUAAGUGUUGGAGGGUUUCCGCCCUUCAGUGCUGCAGCUAACGCAUUAAGCACUCCGCCUGGGGAGUACGGUCGCAAGACUGAAACUCAAAGGAAUUGACGGGGGCCCGCACAAGCGGUGGAGCAUGUGGUUUAAUUCGAAGCAACGCGAAGAACCUUACCAGGUCUUGACAUCUUCUGACAAUUCCAGAGAUGGAACGUUCCCUUCGGGGACAGAAUGACAGGUGGUGCAUGGUUGUCGUCAGCUCGUGUCGUGAGAUGUUGGGUUAAGUCCCGCAACGAGCGCAACCCUUAUUGUCAGUUGCCAUCAUUAAGUUGGGCACUCUGGCGAGACUGCCGGUGACAAACCGGAGGAAGGUGGGGAUGACGUCAAAUCAUCAUGCCCCUUAUGACCUGGGCUACACACGUGCUACAAUGGACGGUACAACGAGUCGCUAACUCGCGAGGGCAAGCUAAUCUCUUAAAGCCGUUCUCAGUUCGAUUGCAGGCUGCAACUCGCCUGCAUGAAGUCGGAAUCGCUAGUAAUCGCGAAUCAGCAUGUCGCGGUGAAUACGUUCCCGGGCCUUGUACACACCGCCCGUCACACCAUGAGAGUUUGUAACACCCAAAGUCGGUGGGGUAACCUUUUGGAGCCAGCCGCCUAAGGUGGGACAGAUGAUUGGGGUGAAGUCGAAACAAGGUA